GGAGUAGCAGUGUUAUCUGUGGUGAUCCAUGUUUCCGUCAGCGCCAGGAAGUCUAGGGACUGGAGGGUAGCAUAGGCUGAGAUGAACUCAGCCUUGUUGGCCGCAGACCGGCAGUUCCAGAGGCUGCCGGAGACCUGGAACUCCACGUGGGUCGUGCGCGCUGGGACCACCAGGUUAGAGCGGCAGCGGCCACGCGGUGUGGAGCGUUUGUAUGGCCUGUGCAGAGGAGAGAGAACAGGGAUAGGCGGACACAUAGUAGACAAGCUACAGAAGAGGCUACGCUAAUGCAAAUGAGAUUGGAGUGACAAGUGGACUACACGUCUCGAAUGUUCAGGAAGUUAAGCUUACGUUGCAAAAAUGUUAUUGACUAAAAUGAUACAGUACUGCUGGCUGGUGGAGUAGGCUAGCUAGCAGUGGCUGCGUUGUUGACUUUGAACGUGUAGCUGGCUAGCAGCAAGAGGAGGGAAUACUUCACAUGAUGGUGCUACAUCACAUACCAACAGCCAUAAUGACAGCUAUAAUGACAGCCAUGACGACAACCGUGUUGACAAAAGUCAACACAUAUCAGGCCAAAGCAUAUCAAGCGAUAUGAAAGGCAAUUUUUCCAUUGGCAACCAGACCAACAUCACCAGUCAUUCCGCUCCACCAAAAACUCCCCAAAAAUCUGUCGUACCCAGCUUCACCAUUGCCAACGUUACAGGCGGCAAAGUGCGUCUCUACUACAAGUCAGAGGAGAUGGCUCUCAGUGACCUCAUCGAGGGGUGUAAACUCAAGAAGGGCGACUCCAUGCUCAUCCUGGAAGGCACCGUUAAGAAGAGCGUUCUCCCGCAUAAACUCUAUGUCACUGGCUUCCAAGUAGAAAAUGACAAUACUCAAUUAUGCCCUGAGGAAGGCCCAAUUUAUGGGAUGAACAACCUCCUGGCAGAGUAUGCUGAGGGUCAACCCAAGUCCUACAUCCUCACUGCUGACAAAGAGGUGAAGAUAGCUGAAACAGGAAAGAUCUGGAUGGAUGAGGACGGGUUGGAUCACAACCCCAAAAAGUAACGCCACCAGAGAACCUCCUGUAUCUUAACACCCUUUAUUAUUCACAGAUUAAACUACUUACAAAUUAUUGAUGAAAAAUAAAGAGAGUAUACAUCACAGAUAAGUGAAAUAGUGCUUCAAGAUACACUCUGUGUAUGGUAGAAAUCAGCAAUGUUAUCACUGUAGUUUUGUGACAAAUAAAUAAAUGUUACCUAACUGAGAAAACGUUAGUGUGUGUGUGUGUGUGUGUGUGUGUGUGUGUGAUUACAUUACAUGAUUGGAGAUGCCACCAGAUAUGCUACAUACGGAUACUUAUGUUAACAACGGUCAACAACACAAGAUUGUAAUAUACGUUUUAUUUCUAUGGUUGUAGUCAUUUUAUUUCAAGCAUACAAAGUGAUGGUGCAAGACACUUACAGGGAGCACAAAUAUAUAUAGCAGAGAAAAAGCCUGCAUAUUUCCUCAUUUCCUUGGAAUUGAAGAUCAUGUGAACUAGAAUGUUAGAUACAGUGCAUUCGGAAAGUGUUCAGAACCCUUCAGACUUUUUCUACAUUUUGUUACGUUACAGUCAUAUUCUAAAAUGGAUUAAAUACUUUUUUCUACACACAAUGCCCCAUAAUGACAAAGCAAAAACAGAUUUUUAGACAUUUUUGCAAAUGUAAAUUUAUUAAAAACUCCAAAAUAACUUAUUUACCUGUGCAUACGAAUUCAGAUCCUUUGCUAUGAUCGAAAUUGAGUUCAGUUGCAUCCUGUUUCCAUUAAUCAUCCUUGAGAUGUUUCUAUAACUUGAUUGGAGUCCACCUGUGGUAAAUUCAAUUGGUUGGACAUGAUUUGGAAAGGCACACACCUGUCUAUAUAAGGUUCCACAGUUGACAGUGCAUGUCAGAGCAAAAACCAAGCCAUGAGGACAAAAGAAUUGUCCAUAGACCUUCAAGACAGGAUUGUGUCAAGUCCCAAAUCUGGGGAAGGGUACCAAAAC
rnacentral:lncRNA from 1 species